UUUUGUGGUAUUCCCGGCCUUCAGCAAAUGUAUCCAGACUUUAGGAUAUCCAAUGUAUAUUUGGUUUUCCUUUGAGCAAGUAGAAUGUAACCUGUUUCGACGCUUCACAUCCUCCUUUCUUGGACCGGCUGUUCUAUAUGUAACUUGUGGCGGUGGCUACUACGAAGACAUCUAAACGUUUCCAUAUUAGUCAUCCUUGAAGUUUGAACACCUGCUAGAAUGUUGUCUGGACCGACCUUUCGGUGGUCUUCCGUGUUGAAAUAGUCUGGUAUUUCUGUAGAAUUUCACUCCUUGCUUGAUGUCGAAGUUCCCAGCAGUUGAGAUAGAGACCCGGUCAUAAACCAAGACGGCCGUUUAAAAAAAAAAGAAUUUCUAGAUGGUCGAUGAUGUUGUGUACGUUUGUGGUGUUGGAAUGGCAAACUUACAGAAUUUGAUGGCGUCCGACUUGGUGAAAGCCCACAGGAACUUUCUUUUGGAAACAAUAUGAACUGCCUUGACCUUUGCUAUCUGUUGCUGUCUCGCUGAUGCGGGCGUGCCACUCAAGUACUCAACAUAAGCUCGAGCUCGAGUGACUUCGUAAAACCUGUAGCAAGUCAGCUGUCCAUUUCAUUGCACAGCUACCUUUUCCACACGGUAUCGGUCUAAACGUCCGCCCUGAUCUCAUCAAUUUAAAAUUCAAAUGCAUAGAGCCAGAUCUCAUGCCGAUGUUCAUAGUUUUUACAUGUCCGGUCACAAAAGUAUUUCAGCCUAGCAGUUUCAUACAAAAAUAAAAGAUUAUUUGCCUUGCCGGACCGGCUAUCCGAGCUUCCCUGCUCACUCCGGCGUGGACUGCUCCUUGCCAUUCUGGCGUGGACUGCUCCUUGCCAUUCGCUUCCUUCUUGGCCAUCUCCUUCUCCGCCGUCUUGAGUUGCUCCUUCAAGGGCUUCAACGUCCCAAGACGAAUGGCUUGCAUGAUCGUCCUUGCAUUGUCAUUCAACUCCUUCAUCUUCAAGGUCAACAUCUUCGAAUCCUUCAAAGUGGCUGUGAUCUUAACCUUUUUCUCUUCGAGCUUGAGCUUCUUCUCGGUCGCCGCAAUCAACAUAGUAAACUUCUCAGCCUUUUUUUCUCUCCUUUUGCUCCGUGUCAUGGAUCGGAUUGAUGCUAGUGAUCAAUCACGCAUCACACAAUAACUCAUCCUUCCGCAUGUUGAAACUUUCUCCUUGAUUUCUCUUCUUGGACUGGCCGCAAAUUCUUUUGUAUCAAGGUUGUUGUCACUGUCCUGCUCCUGUUGGCCGGUGUAUGUGGUGUAUGUGACCGGCUGCGUGUACGUGCCACACUGUGUGUACGUUCCCGGCUAUUGGGCGUGCACUUCUGGCUCUCUGAGCCAUCCACCUACCCGUCCUUGAAGGAGCCUCCCCCCCCUCCCCGCGCUCAUGCAUCAUCUCCUUGUCUGCGUCGUCAUACGCCGGCUAGCUCGGUUAAGACAUAACUGCGAACAGAGAGUGGGCACCGAGCUGCUACACACCCGGUGUCCGCGUCAGGACAAGUUACGGUGAUGCAAACUCGGAGAAAGGAGUUGCGUCGCAUUGACAUUGACACAAUAAGACAUGUGCCCGGCGGUGGAUGUCAGGGACUGCCUGUCAAGCUGCUGGGUGGCGUAGAAGUAGGUAGGCUUGUGACGGUGGCGUCCCGUCCCCUACACCACGACCACCCUGAACGUUCGACGCCACGCCUGCCGCCCCCGCCGCCCUUCUUUUUGAGCGGCGUUGCCUCCUUUGCUUUUGGUUUGAGGCGGCGGGCUUGCUAUGUUGCCGAGUUGAUCUUUCGGGCGGCCGUCUUCGCUCCUUCACACGUCGUCUUCGACAACUUUUCGUACAGGUCCAUGUUGCGACUGCGGCGACAAAAAAAGGCAGGAAUUAGGAUGGGGAGCAGCAGGAGGUAGAGAAAGGGUUGAUAAAGGGAUGCUUUGUCGCGAAAACAGUGUGGCCAGUUUCAAAUGUGUGGGCUCUCGCCUCAAUGUUGGGUGGGCCGAGGGUGUCAACCGAGUCCUACGUGAGUGAUGUUUGAACUCCUACAAAACCCUCUUGGUUGUUUGCUUCCGGUAUGCGAGAAAACCGACACCGGAUAGAUCCACGGACAAAUGUGUGACACCGUUAGGCCAACUCCACCGCGCGACCCCAAAUGGAUGUCCGUUUUGUCCGGAUUCUGUCCGUUUGGGUAGGGCAAUGGGGUCGUGUCCGGGCCGUUUCUAGGAUGCGGUGGCCGUGCGCCCAACGCGGCGGACGUUUCCCGGCCGCAUCCUGUCCGCGUACAUUUUUCUUAGCAAGCCCUUAACUUUUUUUCAUCAUUCAUUUUUGGUACAUGGGAAUAUAUCACCAAAUUUUGACUAGAAAAGCAAGACCAAAGAAAACAAAAACCACAAGAAUACAUUUUAGAAGAUAUCCAACUUUCAUAACUGCUCCUGUAAGUUGGAUUAGUGCCUUCUCGAUGCAUUCAUUGUUGAUCUGCGGAGGAGGCUCGAUCUUGCGUGCUUCUUUCUUCUUUGAGUCUAAAAAAGUAGAGGUUGCUUCCUUGCAUCUAGUCUCAUGUCUAACCUCUAAUCUAGCAACAAGUGCACUAGUCUCAUCUCUAGCCUCUAUGCUAGCUAAAAGUGCACGAACAUCUACUAAAUUGCGCUCUAUCAAUAUAUCGAUGUACUCUUCUUCCCAAUACCAAAACUUACAACCAUGCUACACAAUAAAAUUUAAGUUAGCACAACUAGUCAAAUCUAAGAGCACGACCGAAGCUAAAAAGAGCACAUACCCCAUCGUUUAAGCACUUGAUGAACACCCAUCCGGGAUGUUCCGGCGUUGUAGACACGCGGCGCACGACCUUCUUUGGGCAGUGGUCGCACUUAAUGAGUGGCAACGGUGCGCCGACGAGCUUUUGGGCUAGCACCGAGCCCGGCCGACCGCCAUUCGUGUAUCUGCCGGCGGACCACCGAUGAUGUAGAUCCGAGCGGCUAGAGGAGGAGCCACUGCCUGCAUGUGGCCUUGCGGCCCUGUCAGGGCCUUCCGCCCCGGUGCCCGGCCGUCCAUGGCGCGGCGCGGCCUCCCACAGCCGCGCGAGCUCAAGACCGACCGGAUCCGCCCCAAAUCUGGCCGGCGGGUGCGCAAAUCAGGUAACCGUGGUUGGGUAGCUCGGGGGCGCCGAGGGGAAGGGACUGGGCGAGCGCGCGUCCGAGCCGCACAAUUGCAAUGGCGGCGGCGGCGAGGGGAAGAGUGGGGAAGAGUGGAGAAGAGUGGAGGGGGUGCCGUCGGAGGGAGGGAGGGGCGGAUAGAAAAAGGCGUCCCUGUGCCACCGACGGGCGGGCCAGGGGAGGACACGUGCAGACGCCCCACCCGUCCGCGUGCUGUCUGUUUCACCCCAAAAGCGACGCAAACUUGGGCUGGGGAUGGGUCGAAAGCGGACGGACAAAAAUCCGUUUGCGCUCGCGCACUGGGCCGUCUGAUUCGUCCGUUUUAUCUCAAACAAACGCGCGCGGACAUGAUAGGGUCGCGCGGUGGAGUUGGCCUUAGAUGUCUUGCGACGUCGGGGUAACUUGAUCCGGACGCUCGGGGAGGUUUGGGGUCCGGACGCUUGGGGAGGUUUGGGGUUCAGAUGUCCUAUGCAUGUGUGCGAUGGGGUGCCCCCGAGAUUCCUAUCAUCGUCUUCUCAAACGGCAGCGGUGAAAACUAUUCACAUGGUACUAUGGUGUAGCGGUAGCGGGCAGUAAAACAACUUGUAUCUGCACGCAAGCUGAAAACAGUGGAAGAAAGCAUCGAGGUCGGCAGGCGCGAUCCACCACCUCCCGCGGUAAAACACGCCAACGCGGUGACGUGGUUUGGACCGGUUCGAUGUGAACCUCGUCGCCGCCGGCCCGAACGCGCCGGACGUAGGUAGAACGUCCGUCCGGGUUGAAAGAAAAAGAGGAGGAAGAAGAAGAAGGAUCCCGACGGUGUCCUCCUUCCUCUCCCGAUCACACUCACGCGUCGAGUAAGCCAAACCGCGUGGCAGCUGGUCGGAGGCGCAAACCAAACACGUCGGCCACGUACCGCGUUCCGUCCCGUCCGUGGCAGCGCGACAGAAAAUAAACUAAUCCGUACGAGGAUAAACAUGCAUUAUUAUCACGACGAAGUGUCCGACUGUGGCCGCUUUGUUUAUCCUAACUCCGGUCGCAACGAGCGCGUGGCUUGGGCACGCAAAGGGCCGGCGUCGUCGUUGGUCCUAGUUAAAAGAGCCCAACUCCCGUCGGCCGACCUCCAUGGAACGGGAGGAAGGAAGACCAGGGACCGACCACCGAUGAGCAACUAUCCUUUUUUUUUUCUUUCUAGAAACAACCGAAAACGGAACGUAGAUAACGUCCGUCAGCUACGGCCAGCCGGGCGGAACAACUGAAAGUUUGGUUCAGUUGGGUCAAUUUGUCCAGUCCUAGUAUGCAUACCUACAUUUCGUUUCCACAGUGCGGAACACGGACCGAUCGGGAGCGGAAACAGCACGUGUAGGGGACAUUCUGAACCGAAUACAGGCGAGCCCUCCCACUCCCCCACUGGGAUUUGUUUAGUCCAGCUUUGUUUCGCCUGACAACAUGCUUCUAGAAUGGAAGAAUGUUAACAUGUUCAGAGAACUGCAUCGCUCCAAAAGAUGACUAUGCUCUUAGAUGGAGCAAACGAACUGAAGCUAUAGUGUUUUUUGCACUUCUUUUGUUUUACUUCAGUCCUGCAUUGGCACACCAGUCAAAAGCCUGCAAAAACAAAUGAAGCCUCUUUUUCUUUUUUGCGGGUCAAAUGAAGCCUUGAUUUUGACAAUGAUUAUCAUUUUACAUAGAUAUGCUGCUAAAAUAAAAAUUAAAACCAACUGCUCUAAUUGCUAAAACUGAACGAAAGCAACUCAGUGAUGUAGUCUUGACCGAGUUGCUUUCAGGCAAUCCAUGUCGGACUUUGGUAGGGUCUCUGUAGCAUCAAGUUCUACUGCUAGUAGCGCCUGUGGUUUGACCUACUACUAGUACUGGUUUCUAGACUAUCUCGCUAGGCUACCAAACUGCGGUGAGGAGCUACUGUAACUACAUUUCGUAAAACUGGAACACAAUCAACGUUACGGGAGUCCACCACAAGUUAGUACCCACAAUUGGCAACCGUUCAUUCUCCGUGGAGAACUCAAAACUUCUCAACAAGUUACCACUCAAUUCUUCAGAGAGAUCGCCUAGUGACGAAACAUACAUCAGACUCAGGAAUAACUUGCAAUCCAAAGCUGACGAUGGAAGGCAAGUUGCUGAAUUAUUCACAACAGAUGAGCACUGGGAGAGAUGGAAAUGUUCAAUGACAAUAAUUUACCAGCCCAACUAAGUUACCGCUUAUCUACGUCGCAGCUAUUUGUCCCGGUCAUUUCCAAUUUUCCUGAAGGAACAGAUAUGAUGACCAGUUUGCGGAAGUAUUUAUCUAAACAUGGGUCCAUAUGAUCCUGUUUUCGGAAUUUAAAUGAAAUCGUAACUUCCAAAUUUCCCAAAAUAGGAAAAAUUCACAUGAAGAUACAAACAUGUCUUUGUAAACUUUGCUUAAAAAUAUAUGGGCUGUGUAAAAAUCAGAAUUGAUUUGUAUGUAUUCUACCGCAAGUCCUUUUGUGAUUUUUACACGUCUUGGAAAUGGUCAUAACAUGUUGCCAGAAGUUACAAUGACAAGUCUCGACCUUUUUUGCGAAAAAUAAAAAUAAAAAACCGCUUCCUUUUACCUACACGUAUGACCCAUGACCCAUUCUUUUUAAUGUUUUUUGUAAGUUAUGGGUGUGAAUUAAUACUGAGUUUCAAAGAACAAAUUCAUCUACAAAUAUAUGAGCUGUGUACAAAAUAGAAUUGAUUUUUUCUGCAGUAAAUUAGGUGCUUGUGUUGUGUAUUCUAAUGCAAGUCCUUUUGUGAUUUUUACACGGCUUAGAAAUGCUCAUAACUUGUUGCCAAAAGUUGCAAUGACAAGUCUCUACCUUUUAUCUACAUGUACAUCCCUUUUCUUUUGCUGUUUUUUUAUAAGUCAUGAGUGUGAUUUUUUUUCUUUCAAAAUAAAAGGUUAAACCUCCGGGCAGCCCCGUUGAUGAGGAAGGCCAAAUUGGCCGACCGCACAGGGCCCCAAAAUUUUGGGGGCCCCAGUCCAGCAAGUAAUAUGUAUAAGGCCCAGCCAAAAACGCAAUCUCAGGCAGCCCAUUCUAGCGAUCCCAGGCACGAACGCACCUAGCUUCUGCAGCCCGUUUUCCUUCCGUAACUCCUGUCCCAAUUCCAUCGCACGCAGUCGAAAGGGCAGCAGGGAUAGACGGCGGCUGAGUGCCUGGUCGACGGCGGCUGAGCCACAGACGCAUCGAGCAGGCAGGGGGCGACGCCCUGUACGCGAUACGCGGCCGCCGACCGGCCACGCCCCAGCGCACAUAAUCCCUUGAUCCCUUCCCUUGCCAGGGUAAGUUCUUGAAUCUUGAUUCUUGUCACGCACUGGUUCUUGUAGUUGUAGACAAAGCGUCCAAGCCCUAAUUUAUUUUGUCAGUGUAGACAGUAGGUUGUAGGCUACUUUUUUGUUAAAGGAAAAAUUCAAAAUCUUACAUCUGGGUGAAGUCCUUUUGUAUUUUCUUAUAGCUAUAAUUCUCAGAGUUUGAAUUGAUUCAGAUAUGUUUGUCUUAUUAAACAGAAAGAAUCAUGCAUCCAGGAAGGAGGUAUGAUUCUGGUGCUUCAAAGCGAAGGAAGAAACAAAAAGUAAAAGAAGAUACUCGAAAACAAAAGGGCGCUCUCGAUAAAUUUGUUGUGAAAGAACCUCAACCCAAUUCUGAAAACCAAACUGUAGAUGCUAAUAUUGAUGAUGCACCUAGUGGUGAUCCAGAAGAGGCUGAGGCUCACAUUGGUGAAACUGAUGAAGGUGAUGAUAUUAACAAUGUUGACGAAGGUGAUGAUUCUAAUCAUGUUGAUGAAGGUGCUAAUAUUGCUGCUGAAGGUGAUGAUUCUAAUCAUGUCGAUGAAGGUGCUAAUAUUGCUGCUGAAGGUGAUGAUGCUAAUGUUGCUGAUAACACAAAUAAUUCUGUUCAACCUGAUAUAUUUGAUCCAAGAACAUGGGAUGCACUUGAUCCUACAAUGAUUGAUAUUUUGGUGCAAAAAGGUCCUAAAAGAGACUUGUCUAUUGAGCAUGGUCCUACAGACAAAUUUGGUAGAAGGUUUUCUGCACUAGCGUACACUAGAGUUCUCUUGAAUGGAGAAAAGUGUGAUAGAGAGUGGCUUGUGUACAGCAAAGAGCUUGACAAAGUAUUUUGUUUUUGCUGCAAAUUAUUAAGGAAGGGACAUGUGAGAGGUCAGUUAGCAAAUGAUGGCUUCAGUGACUGGCAUCAUCUUAUCAGUAGACUCAAAGAGCAUGAAAAUGGUAGAGAACAUGUCACAAAUAUGAGUAGUUGGUAUGAUUUGCGCCUCAGGUUGGAGAAGAAUCAAACAAUUGAUAAAGUUGCUCAGCAAGAACUUGAAAAGGAAAGGGAGCAUUGGAGAAAAGUUUUGCUCAGGAUUCUUUUGAUUGUGAAAUUUCUUGCGGAACAUAAUAUAGCAUUUCGUGGCAGUAAUAGCAAGGUGUACCAAGAUAGUAAUGGAAAUUUCUUAGGAUUGGUUCAAAUGUUGGCAGAAUUUGACCCAGUUAUAAAAGAACAUGUCGACCGCAUCACAAGUGAUAAAAUCCGUGAUCAUUAUCUUGGUCCUUCCAUCCAGAAUGAACUAAUAAAUUUGCUCGCUGCUGCAAUCAGGUCUGAAAUCGUUAAGAAGGUAAAAGAAGCAAAGUAUUUCUCCGUUUUACUUGACUGUACUCCCGAUGCAAGCCACCAAGAGCAGAUGUCUUUGAUAAUUAGGUAUGUUGAUGCAUCUUCAGGUUCUUUUUGCAUUGAAGAAUCAUUCUUAGGUUUUUUGGAUGUGAAUGAUACCACUGGGCAAGGAUUGUUUGAUGCUCUAAAAAAUGAAUUGAAAACUCUUGACCUUGAUAUUGACAAUCUGAGAGGGCAAGGAUAUGAUAAUGGGUCAAAUAUGAAGGGAAUACAUAAAGGGGUACAAAGUAAAGUCUUGAAAAUAAAUCGGAGAGCUUUUUAUUCAGCUUGUGGUUGUCAUAGUCUGAAUUUGACAAUAUGUGACAUGGCAAAGUCUUGUCGUAAAGCAUCUGAUUUUUUUUGGAGUUAUCCAACGCAUCUACACAACAUUUGCUAACUCUACUAAAAGAUGGCAAAUUCUCAAAAAUAACAUAUCAGGAGUGACUCUCAAGUCAUUGUCAUCUACUAGGUGGGAGAGUCGUGUUGAUAGUGUUAAGGCUAUAAGGAUUCAACUACCAGAAAUAAGGGAGGCUCUACUACAAGUGGCUGAAAUUGAUAAAGAUCCAUCGACAAGUAGUGAAGCUCAAUCAUUGGCAGAAAAUAAUCUUUGUGACUUUGAAUUCUUAGUGUCAAUAAUCAUAUGGUAUGAAAUAUUAUCAGCUGUUAAUUUGAUCAGCAAAGAGUUGCAGUCAAAGGAUAUGCUUAUUGAUAUUGCUAUUGAGUCUGUAAAGGGCUUGAUUUCUUUCUUCACUAAGUAUAGAGAAUCUGGCUUUCCAAAAGCAUUGGAAGCUGCAAAAGAAAUUGCAAAGGAGAUGGAUAUUAAUCCAGAGUUCCGCACCAAGCGUAAAAUCAAGAGAAAAAGGCAAAUUGGUGAGGGUGCAGAUGAUUCAUCUAUUGUUUCACAAUCAGCAGAGGAGUCAUUUAGGGUCAAUUAUUUUCUGCAUAUUGUUGAUCAAGCUAUAGUUUCACUUAACACGAGAUUUGAACAGUACGAGGGGUAUGAAAAAAUAUUUGGUUUCUUGUUUACUUCAGAUAGACUGCGAUCCUUGGAUGGCAAGAGUUUAUUGGCUGCGUGUGUUAAUCUUGAAGAUGCACUUAAGAGUGGAGAACAUAAAGAUAUUGACGGACUUGAAUUGUGUUCCGAGCUACUUUUUCUGCAGGGCUCACUUCAGAAAUCUAUGGGCCCACUUGAUAUUUUGAACUUUUUGAAGAAGCGUUCCUUAAUCUAUCCUAAUGCUGUUAUCGCAUACAGAAUUUUGUUAACCAUUCCUGUGACAGUUGCAUCUGCGAAAAGGAGCUUUUCUAAACUCAAGUUGUUGAAAUCCUACUUGCGUUCUACAAUGACACAAGAAAGACUGAAUGGAUUGGCAACAAUAGCACUUGAAAAUGAUGUCUUGGAGAAGAUUAAUUAUGAAGAUUUGAUCGAAGAUUUCAUAUCAAGAAAUACUAGAAGAAUGCUGCUUUUUGGUAGAAAAUGAGGUCAGUUUAUAAGUGUAUUCCUUCAGUACCAUAUUUACUAUUUUACCGUUAGUAUUUGAUAUAUUUCCUAAAUAUUGCAACAAUAAGAUAUAUUUGAAGUUAAAUAAUUAAGUGGGAGUAUGCUUUACUUGCAUUAGUUCUUCAGUUAUAUAUGGUUUAAAAAAAUAGGGCCCUAUUUUGAUUUUCGUCCCGGGCCCCCAAAUUUCUGGAGACGGCCCUGCCUCCGGGCCUGUGCAUCUAAGAAUGCAUACAUCCAUAAUAUUACUGAAUUUGAUGCAAGGCAACAUGGCCAAAGUCAUCAACGUGCAAGAAAAAAACAUAACUGAAUUUUCACGGUAACGUGCCUCUGUUGUAUGUAUUACUCCUCUCUGGACCAACAACUUGCCCCCAUUAAUACUUUGAAACAUUUGCAUCAGGAUAUUAAUUUCUUGUGCACCCCCUACAAAAAUAUAUUGUUCUAAUAUAAAAAUAUGACCCUUGGCGAAAACUAGCCUAAAUGAUGAAAACUAGGCACGUGGAUGAACUCUAUUGAAAUAAUAAAGUUAUUUCACAACUUCUUAGAUUUCAAAAAAUUUACCGAGCAAAGAACAACAAGAGCAGAAAAAACAAUGGUAGGGUGGUGACAUCCAUGAUCUAGUGCUAUCGCUCGAAGCUACCUCCUCUCAACCUAUUCUCCCUUGCCCCGAACUGACAUGUUUGGAACCUAGGUGUAGAUAAAUCUGAAUUGGAAAAUAAUUUGGUAAUUGCAAAAGAAUAUAAAAAAAUCAUGAUUUUUUCUAGAAACAAUCAUGAUCAAGUGUUUACACUUGCAUAAAAAAAUUGCGGAAGAAUGCUUUUUAUGGUAUUGUGGGCGAAAGAAAAAUAAAUGAGCACUACAUCAUAGUUACUAUUCACUCCUUUUGUUCGCAGUUUUUUUGCCCUGAAGUCGAUGGGAGUUCGCAAAACUUUUUAUAUGAGUACACCAGUAGGUCAAGUUUGUUACCCAAAAAAAAUAUUUUUUAAUUUUUUGAAUUGCUAAUUUUUUCGUAUCACGUCCAUCUUCGCCCAGGUUCAUCCCUCCUCCCCCCUAUGAUAUUCCCGCCAAUCCAACACCUCCCCUUCUCCCCAACCCUUAUCACCGCCCUCCUUCCUCCCCUUCCUUUCUAGAGGCGGGGUGUGCCGAUGCGUUGGAUCAAGAAUAUUCGGUCCAACAUCAACCUAGACAACCUCCCCUUCCCCUUCUUCCUCCUCUACGCCCUAAAUCGAUGAUGCUCCGAUGUUGUUGUAAACCUCAUUGGGCUAAUUUUUUUGCUUAUAUAUUUUUCUAUUCGAAAAGGUGCGAUGGCACCCGGGAGUCCCGACACCCCGCUAUCCUAUGCGUUCAACGUUUUCAAGAUUCGUGAUGUGGUGUGGACAGCAGCAGGCCACUUGCGUUGUCAUGUUAGUUAAUCAGGCAAUUUACAGAGUCGAACAGGGCACGGUACUAGGCUGCAGCAUGCAGAGUAGGUAUGGCAACUGUUCCCGACUAGCUUGUCAGGCCCGGCUACUGUAGCGCGAGAUGUUCCAGCGGCCCGUCAUGUCAUUCUUAUCUAUCUUUUCUUCUGUUCUUUUUUUGAGUGAAGAGAGAGGAGAAAGGUGAGGAGAGAGAGCCUUUUUUAUGAGCCAGAGAGAGGACUAAUGGAAGGAGACAGAGGCUGUGACCUGUGCGAGAGAGAAGAGACAUGAGAGAAAAUAACUGUUUUCCAUGGAGGACAGAGAGGCUGUGAACGGAGAGAGAAGAAGGUGGCGGCACACUUUUUAUUAGCCCAUGAGAGAGACAGAAAUGUCAGAAGAGAGAGGUUGUGAGAGAGAAAAAUAAUUGUUUUCCAGGAGAGAGAGCGACGGUGAAUCUUGGGAGGAGAGAGUGAUUUCACUGUAACUGUUCAAGUAGGCAUGUUAAAACAAGAACCAUCACAGUGCCUUGCACAGAUCUCCAAAACUUUGUUUUGGAUGGACGGUGCUGAUAGAAGGGAGUCUAGGCACCCGGGUUCUAAAAAUCUAGUCUCUUUUCUAUUUGAAGGAAGAAAGAAGGCCAUGAUCACGUUGCUUUGCUCCAAAAAAGAAGGCCAUGCUGGCACCUAACUGCGCAUAGGUAGGUCCUCAAAUCAAAAGAAAAGAGAACAAAGAAGUGAACAUCGGUAAGGCAUGACCAACCCGACCGUUUCCUCCUACCCGCGGCUUACGCCCCCUUUUCAUUCAAACAUAGGUGAACAUCGGUACGUUCCAUUCAACGUCAACCUUCCCGAUUCAAACCUUUACCCGUCCGUUCCCUCCCCUAUUUGAACCCUUCUUCCCACCACUCCAGUCUUCGUAUUCAACUCUUCACACCCCCACCCCACCCAGCUGCCCGCCACACGCGCCCAACACGCCCGCUCUGCUCCAUCGUCUCCAUCAGCCCAUCCAUCGAACCACCACCUAGCCAUCACCUACCCUUUCUCUUCCUCGGCCGAUCGAUCCAUGGCGCUGCUGGCACGGAGGUCGAGGAGGGCGGCGACCAAGGCGGCGGCGCCGGUGGCGGUGGAGCUGUCCAUCCCGGCGCACUUCCGGUGCCCGAUCUCGCUCGACCUCAUGCGCGACCCGGUCACGGCGCCCACGGGGAUCACCUACGACCGGGAGAGCAUCGAGGCGUGGCUCGACACCGGCCGCGCCGCCGUCUGCCCCGUCACCCACGCCCCGCUCCGCCGCGACGACCUCGUCCCCAACCACGCCAUCCGCCGCGUCAUCCAGGACUGGUGCGUCGCCAACCGCUCCCGCGGCGUCGAGCGGAUCCCCACGCCCAAGAUCCCCGUCACCCCCGUCCAGGCCUCCGAGCUCCUCUUCGAGGUCGCCGAGUCCGCGCGCGCCCGCGACCGCGGCGCGGCCGCCCGGUGCGCCGCCGCGGUCGCCAGGGUCAGGGCCCUCGCCAGGGAGAGCGAGAGGAACCGGCGCUGCUUCGCGUCCAUCGGCACUGGCCGCGUGCUCGCCGCGGCGCUCGAGUCGCUCGCGGCGGGCGGCGGCGAGCCAGCCGGGGGUGUUCUUGAGGACGUUCUCGCGGCAUUGGUCCGCAUGGCGCCGUUGGACGGGGAGACCGCCAGGAUCUUGGGAUCGCCGCGCUCGCUGGGCUCGUUGGUCGCGAUCGCCGAGAAUGGAAGCUUGGCGGGAAGGCUCAACGCCGUGAUGGCGAUCAAGGAGGUCGUGUCCUCGUGCGACGGAGCAUGCACGGAUUUGGGCGUGAAAGCCGACGACAUCGUGGACGCGCUGGUCAAGAUCAUCAAGGCUCCCAUCUGCCCACAGGCUACCAAGGCAGCCAUGGUCGCCGCCUACCAUCUGGCGCGCUCCGACGAGCGCGUCGCGGCGCGCGUAGCCAGGACCGGUCUCGUGCCGGUGCUCGUCGAGUCCCUCGUCGACGCCGACAAGAGCGUGGCAGAGAAGGCGCUGGCGUUGCUCGACGCCGUGCUCGCGUCGGAGCAAGGCCGCGAGAGCGCGCGCAUGCACGCGCUCACCGUGCCCAUCCUCGUCAAGAAGAUGUUCCGCGUGUCCGACCUGGCCACCGAGCUCGCCGUCUCGGCGAUGUGGAGGCUCGGCAAGAACGCGGGGGGCGACGAGGGCGCAGCGACGAAAUGCCUGGUAGAGGCGCUGCGGGUCGGAGCCUUCCAGAAGCUGCUGCUUCUCUUGCAGGUUGGCUGCCGGGACGCAACCAAGGAGAAGACCACCGAGCUGCUCAGGAUGCUCAACAAGCACAAAGGCGUAGGGGAAUGCGUCGACGCCAUGGACUUCAGAGGGCUCAACAAGCUGUCCUGAAUCACAACUUGUGUAAAGAAACAUUGUAGGAUAGAUGGAUGUGUAAGCUAGCAGAUUGGUAGGAUAGUUGGAUGUAAAUUCUUCUCCCUUUUUGCGUUUGCCAGGUGUUAGCUAGAUUCAAACUUUUUUUUUUUUUAGAAACGCUUGAACGCUACUUGAGAAACAAAUAAAAGGCUUAAGUACAAUGCAACUGUCGAUAGAUCUUCCCGCUGCUUGAGAUCUUGUUAUCAAACUUCUUAUAUAUUCAUAAUACUGAACUUCUUUUACUUACCACUAAAUAUAUUCUUUUGGUGAUAUUUUUACAUUUUAAAUAAUAUUUUAAAAUCUUACUUGUUGAACGAACAUAAUUGUUCAUAUAUAUUAAGUUACACAUUUCCAUGCAAUUCUAGCAUUAAUAAUUGAAAGUACAUCUUUUGACCAAAACUAUAACUAAGUUAUAUUUUGUUGAUUAUUUAUAUUUUGGGUGUUCUUUGAGAUAAUAUUUAGUCCAAAUAAAAUUAACUCUAAAUCCAAGCAAAAAAAAGUAUGGCAUCACUCGACAUCCAUCCGUUAAUGUGUUCAAAUAUAUUUUUGUGGUAUUUGUCCGUAGUUUAUUAUGCACAAAACUUGAUAAAGUGUUGUCGAGUGUAUGAAAGAAAAAAAUGCUAGAUGGUUCUCGAGUAUAAUAGUAUCAAGUUUGGGCAUAAUUAGAUCGUGAAUUCAAAAAGUGUACGGGGUCUCACCAAAUAAUAUGUUCAAACCGCAUUCUGAGCAUCAAAUGCGCAUAAGAGAUUGCAAGAUACCCAUGUAUAUGGCAGAUCAGGCAACAAUGUGAAAUCAUCGUACAUUUAAGUAAGAUAUGCCGUGAAUAACUAACAUACGGACCUAGAUGAGGAACCAUUGAUACACAUCGAAUGACAAAUGCGACCCACGCAAUGCAUCCAAUGUUCCAAUCAACUCCAGCUCCGUAUUCUCAGGGAGCUUGGAUUCUUUGAAGAUUAGAAAUACAAAUCAGACCAAGUAUUUCAAGUCCAACGACCACGACGUGGCAUAGUAUAAGUAAUUCACCUAACAUCGAGUCCGACCCGAUGCCGCUGGUUUUAAAAAAAUAUACUCCUUCAAUACAAAUUAAUUAAUCGUUGCUUUAGUACAACUUUAAUACUACAAAGUUGUAUUGAAGCAACAACAAAUAGUAUGGACUGGAGGGAGUAGUAUUUUUUUUUGACUGGAGGGAGUAGUAGAUGCUGCCCCUACAAAAAUAAAGUUAAUAAGGUGGUGAUCAUACAUCUGCUUGUAUUGUUCUAUUGACUUUGUAAAAACAAACUUCCUAGAGAGGGUGAUAAAAGUAGAAAUAUAUAAAUGCUGCAUAACACCCAGCUGAUUCUAAUCAGCAUCCGGCAAAGUACACAUUUCGUGCGUGUUUUUCCCUGUUGAUGAGUGGAUCCACAAAAUCUAUCCACACACGAUCGGCUGGAAUAUUCUGCAGCACGCGACGCCGCGCGGGUCAGCCCAGUCUAGAUGCAGCUUACCGGUUCUCGACUUUGAAACGUGGAUCGGUUCAAGUGUGCGCAGAAGUAGUAUUACGUAACGUACGUAGUAAAGCCUGACCCAGUGGACCUCCCACCACCACUGAUCGAGCCAUGCACCAACGUUGCCGACCUCGGACCAAUCUCUAUGUCCCAUUCGGAAAUUUUGACUCCUCCGUGUGGUCGAGCUAUAGCUAGCUAUGUUAGACUGUAUAUAUAUACGUAGCCUCUGUGUAAAUAUUGUAACAUUGUAUUGUACCUCUUGAUACCUCUAUAUAAUGAGAUAGUCACACCUUAUUUAGGGUGUCGAGCCAGUUUCCCAAACCCUAUGUUUUACAUGGUAUCAGUUUAGGUUACGAUGUCUUCCGCUGCACCACCCGCCGCCGCCGCCGCCGCGCCGAUCUCGACUGCCACCGCGCCGGCCCUCGCCCCGAUGUCGCCCUUCCUGGCCUCCCGGCCCCUCGCGGCGACGUAUGGGGCCUUGCCGCCGCCGCCCGCUUCCCCGCAUGCAUCGGGCGCUUCGGACGAUCUGAUCGCCCCGCCCGAGCCCGCGGCGCUGCCGGCCUAUGGCGGCCCUCCUCCGCCGAACCCGAACCCUGGCGCUGGUCCCCCGACGUACGACGCUCCCGCGCCCUCCUAUGGCGCGCCUCCGCCGCCGUCGUCCUUGUGGCCGGUGCCAGCUUAUGCUGUGCCGCCGCCGUCGCAACCCUACACGGUGGCGCCGCCGCAACACCACCACUACCCGGCGCCGCCACCGCAGGCCUAUGGGAGCACGGCCACCUCGCCGUAUGGCGCCCCUGCAGCGCCCGGCCACGGCGCUUUGGCUGCCGCCUCCCGGCUCCUACUCCUCGCCUGGCGCCUACGGUUCAUACUCGGCGAUGAUUCCUCAUCCAGAGGCGGCUCCGUCCAUGGAUCCCUAUGCACCACUGCAGGCGUACACUGCUCAAGCCGCAGCGCCUUCGCCGUUUUAUGUCUCGCACCUGCUGCCGGUGAAAAUCGCGCCGGACAACUACCUGUCGUGGCGUGCUCAGGUCUUGCCGCUACUCCGCAGUCGCUACUUGGAGGGCUAUGUCGACGGAUCCAUCCCAUGCCCGCCCCCUCAACAUCCGGCGUAUCACACGUGGGUGGCGUAGGAUCAGGCCAUCAUCUCUGCCAUCCAGUCUUCGCUCACGCCGAGUGUUUCGUCGAUGGUCAUCUUCGCCGCUACAUCCAGGGAGGCGUGGGCGGCACUCCACACUAGUUUCGCCUCCCAGUCUUAGGCGCGUGCGCAUUCUAUACGCAUCGAGCUGGGCAAGACCAAGCUUGAAGAUCUCAGCAUCACGGAGUACUUCAACAGGAUGACGAGCCUCGCGGACACUUUGGCCUCUGUUGGUCAGCCGCUUCAGGACAAGGACUUCACCACCUUUGUGCUUAACGGGCUCGAUGACGACUAUGACAAUCUCAUUGAGAACGUCCAUGGUCGCGAGGAUCUGCUCCCGCGUCGUGAGCUCUAUGCGCGUCUCCUUGGCCGUGAGCAGCGCAUCAAGGCGCGCCGGGUUUCCCCCAGCUUCGUCUCCGCCAACGCUGCUACUCGCGGCAAACCUCAGAAGCCGGCUCCAUCAGGUGGCAAACCGGCGCCUUCCUCGCAGCAGGCCUCGCGGGGCAACGCGCCGACCAUCACUGGCGGGAGUCGCCCAGUUGCUUGCUGUUCUAGUUGUGGUGCUCCUCAGGCCUGUCAGCUUUGUGGGAUAGAUCGUCAUCUCGCCACGCGCUGUCACAGACGCUACAAGCAAGACUUCCUUGGCCUUGGCAACAAUGGCAAAGGGAAUGAUAAGCAGGCCGCAGCUGCUGUGACGGGUCAUGAGCAUGGACGCACUCCGUCCUACUCUGUUGAUCCUACAUGGUACAUGGACACGGGAGCUACGAACCACCUCACCAAUGACAUGGGCAAGCUCUCCACUCAGGAGCCAUAUCGCGGCCAUGAUCAGGUGCACACCGCCAAUGGAGCAGGUAUGCGCAUCUUCCAUGUUGGUCAGGCAUCACUUCUUGCACACAAUUCACGAAAACUGCAUCUUUCUAAUGUUCUUCGUAUUCCUACUGCUUUUGCGUAGUUUGUUGUCUGUUCCACAACUUACUCGUGAUAAUAAUGUCCUUGCUGAGUUUCACCCUUUUCGUUUCUUUAUCAAGGAUCGGGACACGAGGGCCGUUCUGCUUAGCGGUCGUCUUCGCUGUGGCUUGUAUGCACUUGACGCACCGACCGCACCUCCUAUGCAGUUUUCUCCUCAGGCGUUCAGUGGUGUUCGUGUGUCAUCUACACAUUGGCAUGCGCGUCUGGGUCAUCCUGCUGCUCCUAUAGUUCGUCAUGUGUUGCAUCGUCAUGAACUACCGGUUGUGUCGAAUAAAAUUGCUGAAACUAUUUGUGAUGCCUGUCAGCAGGGCAAGAGUCAUCAACUUCCGUUUUCAGAGUCUAGUCGUGUUGUGAAACAUCCUCUUGAGAUUGUGUUUUCUGAUGUAUGGGGUCAUGCCCAAACGUCUGUCAGUGGCCAUAAUUAUUAUUUUAGUUUCAUUGAUGCUUAUAGUCGGUUUACUUGGCUUUAUCUUAUUAAGAAAAAGUCUUAUGUGUUUGAUGUUUUUAUACAGUUUCAAGCACAUGUUGAGCGUCUCCUUAGCUAGAAAAUCAUUCAUGUUCAAACCGACUGGGGGGGGGGGUGAAUAUCACAACCUCAACUCGUUUUUUAACAAGCUUGGGAUCACACAUCGUGUGUCUUGUCCUCAUACACAUCAGCAGAAUGGAACUGCUGAACGUAAGCAUCGUCAUCUUGUAGAAACUGGCAUCACUUUAUUAGCUCAUGCCUCUGUUCCUUUUAGGUUCUGGAGUGAUGCCUUCUCCACUGCCUGUUUUUUGAUCAACAGGCUGCCCUCACGACUACUGAGUAUGAAAACUCCGCUUGAACUCUUGCUCAAUGAAAUCCCAGACUACACCUUCCUCAAAGUCUUCGGGUGUGCGUGUUGGCCUCAUUUGCGUCCUUAUAACAAACAUAAGCUAGAGUUUCGGUCGAAAAAGUGUGUCUUCCUUGGGUAUAGUUCCGUUCAUAAAGGGUACAAAUGCCUACAUGUUCCCACCAAUCGCGUCUACAUUUCUCGUGACGUUGUAUUUGAUGAGAAUGUGUUCCCCUUUCGUGCACUUCCGAACAACUCUAUCCCUCCUAUGUCAGACGUUUCUUCUAACACACCCUCGCCUGAUCAAUUUGUGGAUGUUGCAAAUGCUCCUGUGUUGCUUCCUAACCAUGCUGCAGGUGUUCGACGUGGUGCUCGUCUUGAGCUCCUUGAUGAUGAAGCUACGGACACCACUCACGAUGGGCACGUCGAUCCCAUGCAUGGCGGGUUGUGCCCGCCAGCCCGACGCACCCGCACCGGCUCCACGGGCGCCGCCUGCGCCCGCAGCUGCCCCGCGAGCGUUAGCCUCGCCUAGCUCGCCUGGCUUGGUGGCCGCUUCGCCUGGUCCUGCUGGCUGGUUCCACCCGCGGGUGUCGCCUUCGCCCGGCCCAGUGGCAGGCGGUCCGACGGCUCCUUCAGCUGCGCCAAGCAGCCCCACCUCGGCCCCCUAGGCUCCUCGUGGGCCGGCCUCGUCGCCAACUAGACUCGGCAGUCCCGCCUCGGCCCCGUCGCCUGCCUCUGAGCCUGACGACUCUAGCUCGUCCAGCUCGGGGUCAGGAUUGGCCUCGCCUUCGUCUCCUGUGGCAAGCCCAGAGUUGUCGGCGAUGCCUACUGCGGUUGUUCUUUGUCCACACACGCGCAGCCGGUCUGGUAUUUUUCGUCCAAAGGAACGUACAGACGGGACUGUUGCGUGGCUUGCCGCUUGCAUGGCUGAUGCUGCUGCGGAUCCGACGGCCGAGCCGCGUCAUUUUCAGGCCGCGUUGGGUAUUCCUCACUAGCGCGCUGCGAUGGAGCAGGAGUUUCAGGCUUUGCUGAAAAAUGGCACUUGGCAACUUGUUCCUCCGGUCUCUGGCAUCAACAUCAUUGAUUCCAAAUGGGUGUUUAAAGUAAAACGACAUGCGGACGGUUCUAUUGAACGCUACAAGGCACGACUGGUUGCCAAGGGCUUCAAGCAGAGGUAUGGUCUUGAUUAUGAAGACACGUUCAGUUCAGUUAUCAAGCCUACCACCAUUCGUAUGCUGCUGUCUCUUGCUGUCACUCGUGGGUGGUCUCUUCGUCAGCUUGAUGUGCAGAAUGCCUUCCUACAUGGAGUUUUGGAGGAAGAGGUUUAUAUGCAUCAGCCACCGGGUUUUGUUGAUCCCACACGUCCUCAUCAUCUCUGUCGUCUGGUCAAGGCGUUGUAUGGACUUAAACAGGCUCCUCGCGCAUGGCAUGCACGUCUCGGUUCUGCUCUCCGGGCUCUUGGGUUUGUUCCCUCCACUGCUGACACGUCACUGUUCCUCUUUCAGCAUCCUGAGGUUACGAUGUAUCUAUUAGUUUAUGUUGAUGAUAUCAUCCUCGUCAGUUCCUCUGAUGCUGCUGCUGAUCGCCUUGUGAUUGCGUUUAGUGAGGACUUUGUUGUCAAGGAUUUGGGUGCUCUGCAUUACUUCCUUGGCCUGGAGGUGUCAUGGUCUUCUUCUAGGGUGACUCUAACUCAGAAGAAGUAUUCUUUGGACUUGUUGCGUCGUGCUGGUGUGCUCAACUGCAAACAUGCUAUCACUCCGAUGUCUACGACUGACCGGUUGUCUGCCCUUGAUGGAGAUCCUCUUCCCCCUGAUGACGCUACUGAGUAUCGCAGUCUUGUUAGUGGUCUGCAAUACCUCACUAUCACCAGGCCUGAUGUCUCUUAUGCAGUUAACCGUGUAUGUCAGUAUCUUCAUGCCCCUCGGACAUCUAAUUCCACGGCAGUGAAGCGUAUUUUGUGGCAUAUCUCUUCCACUGCCUCGUAUGGUCUGCUCCUUCAGCCUGCACCGUCUUGUGAGCUUUCAGCCUUUUCUGAUGCGGAUUGGGCUGGCAGUCCUGAUGAUCGGCGAUCCACGGGGGGAUAUGCAGUGUUCUUUGGUCCCAACUUGAUCGCCUGGAAUGCUCGCAAGCAAGCUACUGUAUCUCGUAGCAGUACUGAAGCUGAGUAUAAGGCAAUUGCUGAUGCUACCGCUGAGAUCAUAUGGAUACAGUCUUUAUUGAGGGAGUUGAGAAUCUCUCCAGGUCAUCCUCCAGUUCUUUGGUGUGAUAACAUCGGUGCCACAUACCUUUCGUCUAAUCCGGUGUUUCAUGCUCGGACGAAACACAUUGAGGUUGACUAUCACUUUGUUCGGGAACGUGUUGCACAGAAGCUACUAUGUAUCAAGUUCAUCUCCUCAAAAGAUCAACUUGCUAACAUCUUCACGAAGCCUCUUCCACAACCACAGUUUGUAGGCUGUAGGCGCAAUCUUAACUUGCUUUGUACUUCAGGCCAUAGUUAAGAUUGAGGGAGGGUGUUAGACUGUAUAUAUAUACAUAGCCUCUGUGUAAAUAUUGUAACAUUGUAUUGUACCUCUUGGUACCUCUAUAUAAUGAGAUAGCCACACCCCGUUUAGGGUGUCGAGCCAGUUUCCCAAACCCUAUGUUUUACAAGCUACUAGUACAAAAUUCCAUCAGUUUUGUCGUGGCCACGAGCCCACGAUCUCGGUUUUGCUAUAGCGUUAGAGCAAGUAUAAUAGUGGGCUUAUAGCUCGCUUACAUGAUAUUUUUGCCUAUGUAGAGUAGAGAGAUGUGAAAAAGUAAGGGGAGUGGGCUCUCAUGCAAGAGCCUAACUAUAUGUGCAUUCCUAGGUAAAUGCAAUAAAUGUGAAGAAAGAGAUAGAGAGAAGAUGGAAGAAAGUACUAAUGCAAUAGCCAACCUUAUAGCCCACAUUAUUGUAUGAGUGAAUAUAGAUGAUGUGUAACGCCCACGAUGCGGCUAUAUCUCCCACGUGUCGAGGCACGACUUAGAGGCACCGCAUUGUGGUUUUGUCGCAAGAAGGGUCAUCUUCACACAAUCCCACGUAAUGAACAAGAAUGGGAUAAAGAGAGUUGGCUUACAAUCGCCACUUCACACAAUACAUAAAUGAAUUCAUGCAUCAUUCAGAGUACACACAUAGGUCCGACUACGGAACCAAAACAAAAGAAGACAACCCCAAAUGCUAGAUCCCCGAUCGUCCCAACUGGGCUCCACUACUGAUCAACAGGAAACAAAACAUAGUAACGACCAAGGUCCUCGUCGAACUCCCACUUGAGCUCGGUUGCGUCACCUGCACUGGUAUCGUCGGCACCUGCAACUGUUUUGGUAGAAUCUGUGAGUCACGAGGACUCAGCAAUCUCACACCCGCGAGAUCAAGACUAUUUAAGCUUAUGGGUAGGAGAAGGUAGUGAGGUGGAGCUGCAGCAAGCACUAAGCAUAUAUGGUGGCUAACAUACGCCAAUAAGAGCGAGAAGAGGAGCAACGGAACGGUCAUCAACUAGUAAUGAUCAAGAAGUGAUCCUGAACUCCUACUUACGUCAAACAUAACCCAAAAGCCGCGUUCUCUUCCCAGACUCCGCCGAAAAGAGACCAUCACGGCUACACACGCGGUUGAUGUAUUUUAAUUAAGUCGAGUGUCAAGUUCUCUACAACCGGAUAUUAACAAAUUCCCAUCUGCCACAUAACCGCGGGCACGGCUCUCGAAAGUUUAUACCCUGCAGGGGUGUCCCAACUUAGCCCAUUAUAAGCUCUCACGGUCAACGAAGGAUAUUCCUUCUCCCGGGAAGACCCGAUCAGUCUCGGAAUCCCGGUUUACAAGACAUUUCGNNNNNNNNNNNNNNNNNNNNNNNNNNNNNNNNNNNNNNNNNNNNNNNNNNNNNNNNNNNNNNNNNNNNNNNNNNNNNNNNNNNNNNNNNNNNNNNNNNNNNNNNNNNNNNNNNNNNNNNNNNNNNNNNNNNNNNNNNNNNNNNNNNNNNNNNNNNNNNNNNNNNNNNNNNNNNNNNNNNNNNNNNNNNNNNNNNNNNNNNNNNNNNNNNNNNNNNNNNNNNNNNNNNNNNNNNNNNNNNNNNNNNNNNNNNNNNNNNNNNNNNNNNNNNNNNNNNNNNNNNNNNNNNNNNNNNNNNNNNNNNNNNNNNNNNNNNNNNNNNNNNNNNNNNNNNNNNNNNNNNNNNNNNNNNNNNNNNNNNNNNNNNNNNNNNNNNNNNNNNNNNNNNNNNNNNNNNNNNNNNNNNNNNNNNNNNNNNNNNNNNNNNNNNNNNNNNNNNNNNNNNNNNNNNNNNNNNNCAAUGGUAAAACAAGACCAGCAAGACCACCCGCUGUGCCGACAAAUCCCGAUAGGAGCUGCACAUAUCUCGUUCUCAGGGCACACCGGAUGAGCCAGACGUCGGGUUGGCAUAGACCCUGGUUGCCCAGGGGGCGCCGGACAUCGCUCGGUUUGGACCAGCACUCGAAGGAGCACUGGCCUGGGGGGGGGGGGUAAAUAAAGAUGACCCUUGAGUCUGCAAAACCCUAGGGAAAAAGGCUUAGGUAGGCAAAUGGUAAAACCAAGGUUGGGCCUUGCUGGAGGAGUUUUAUUCAAAGCGAACUGUCAAGGGGGUCCCAUAAAUCACCCAACCGCGUAAGGAACGCAAAAUCAAGGAACAUAACACCGGUAUGACGGAAACUAGGGCGGCAAGAGUGGAACAAAAUAUCAGGCAUAAGGCCGAGCCUUCCACCCUUUACCAAGUAUAUAGAUGCAUUAAUUAAAUAAGAGAUAUUGUGAUAUCCCAACAUAAAUAUGGUCCAACAUGGAACAAACUUCAUCUUCACCUGCAACUAGCAACGCUAUAAGAGGGGCUGAGCAAAAGCGGUAACAUAGCCAAGCAACGGUUUGCUAGGACGGGUGAAAAGGUUAGAGGCUGACAUGGCAGUAUGGGAGGCAUGAUAUAGCAAGUGGUAGGUAGCGCGGCAUAGCGAUAGAGCGAACAACUAGCAAAGCAAAGAUAGAAGUGAUUUCGAGGGUAUGGUCAUCUUGCCUGAGAUCCCGUAAGGAAGAAGAACGAGUCCAUGAAGAAGACAAACGGACGAAGUCGAACAAAUCCUCACAAACGCGACGUUAUCGGAACUAACCCGAAGAAGCAACACCGGAAAGAAGCAAACAACAUGGUAAACAACCAUCACAGAAACAUGGCAUGAUGCACAAUCAAGUACGAUGCAUGUCCGGUUUAAAGAGGCAUGGCGUGGCAAAGUGCACAAACAAUACUACAAAUUAAGUGGAGCUCAAUAUGCAACGAGUUGCAUAUUGACGAAACACCACAUGACUCAUUUAGUUCUCUCUCAAUUAUGUACCCAACAAUAUUAAAUGUUGUUAAACAUGGCAAGAGGUGAAACAUAACAAAACUACCUAUCUAGGCAAUUUAAAUGAGGCCGGAAACAACAAACAACAAUUCCGGAAAAUCCCCAUAAGCAUAUUUUUGAUUUGGUACUGUUCUGCCCUAAACACAAUUUUAUUGUUGUUAAACAUCAAAAUAAAGUGUACCAAGUUAUUCUAUGCAUUUUUUACCCCAUUUACAUAUAAAGUUUAUUAAAUUCCGAGUUACGGUUAAUUAGUUAUGAAAUAAAUCAUUUUAGCAUGGCAUUUGAGCAAAAUUAAACAAGCAACAAGGUUAAACAUUUUAAACAUGGAUGAAAGUGGCAUUUUAUGAAACUAGACAAAAUUCUAAGCACUUUAUAUGUUUACAUCAUUUUAAUAUGAUGCAUGGUUCAUGAGUUAUUAAAUGCAUGAUGUUGAGGGUUUUUCUACAAAACUGCCAACUCUGGAUAAUUAGCUAAAUUCGCAGACACUGGAAAAAACAUAAGCGGGCCGAAACUGGCUGGGCCAGCGGUGUACAGGAGAGUGGCUGGAGGGGCGGCUCACCCAUGGGCUAGGCCCAGUUGAGGAAGAGGAGGCCGGGCAGGCCAGCGGUGCGGGAGGUUGGGCCAGGAGGCGCGGACGAGGCCGCGUCCCACGAUGUAGAGGGGUGCGGUCAACGGAAGCGGGCGCUCGGGUCUUGGCGAUUGGCGUGGUCAACGCGGCAGCGGCGGCGCGCUCGUCCUCCUGCUCGAAGCAGAGGAUGCAGGGGGCGACGGCCGCGGCCGGACUUGGCGACGGCGGUGGACUUGGCGCGCUCUCCGGCGAGGACGGACGAAGGGGCCGGAUCCAGGCGGCGAAGGAGGAACGGCGAUGGCUCCACGGCUUGGCGGCGUCCAAGCGGCGAACAGAGGGGGCUUGAGCGAGUCGCGGAGGCCAUGGCUCGGCUGGUAAACGAGUAUACAAGAGAGAGAAGGUCAGAGGAGAAAGGGAGUCAGGGAAAAAGAAGGGAAGAAGGGGCGCGAGACGGGGACCUGCUGGUCCGGCGGCUCUGCUUGGAGAGGUGGCCGACAAUGUGCUGGACGCGGGGGAGGCCGAGAACGGGCAGCGGAGCAUGCUCCCGUUCAGGUCCAGCCGGAACUGAGGCGGGGCUGGAGGCAACGACGGUGGUGGACUCGAGCUUCGGCGGUGGCGCUGGUUCACUGCGAAGAGGAGCGAGAGAGGGAUGAGAUGAGGAAGAGGUCAGAGAAGGGGAGAAACGAGAAGAAGAGGAGGACAGGGAGAAGGAGCGGGCGGCCUGGCCUGGUGGAUGCUCGUCGGCGGAGGGAGCUCCGGUGGUGCUGCGGCUUGCCGCGCGCGAAGGACGGGCGAGGACGGAGGGGAACGAGGCAGGAGCUCGAGCUCCUGGCUGACGAGGGGAGCGAGGAGGUGGCGCACGAGGUCGGGCUCCAGGCGGUGCUCCUGCGCCGCGGGAGGCGAGAAAGGGAGUGGAGCGAUGGGUUCCUGGAGCUGCUGAUGCGGCUUGGUGCGGUGGUGGAUUGGGCAGGCGUGCCGAUCGAGGAAGGUGGGUGGCGGCGCUGGGUUGGCUCGGGAAGGAAUGAGGGGAUCCCAAGGCAGGGGCGGCGGCAGAGGGAUCAGACUGAUGGGACAAGCCUCCUGAAGAUUAGGGUUCGUCUAGUUUAUAUAGUGAGUGAGUUAGGCUAGAGGCUGUCAGAUCCCUCCGAUCGAAAUCGGGUGGUUGAGAAUAAAAUGCUUAGGGGAGUCCAAUAAAGAACCAAAGAUAUUUUAGGGAUGAUCCGAAUCCAGCAGUGAUGACUGAGCGGGUCGGGUACGAGGGAGCUUUCGGACGCGCACGAGGGGUCGAUGCACUAUGCAAAGGGGGUUAGGCGAACGAGGUCAAGUGUGUGGUUGGAUUGAGAAUGGUCAAGGAAGACAAAUGGUCUGACGACAUGCCACGGAGACAAGGAGAAGCGGCAACUACAAACGACUACGAGUUUUAUGAAAACAUGUGGAUGCAUUGCGGAUGAUGCGAUGAUGAAUGCAACAAACAAAUAAAUAACAGAGCUGACACGUAAAACAUGGAAAGCAUCUGGAGCGUCGGUCUUGGGGCGUCACAACACUCCACCACUACAAGAGGAUCUCGUCCCGAGAUCUAGGAAUGGCACCGGAGAAAAACGGAAGGGGAAGAGGUAAAACAAAGUUGCUUCUUUGACAAAAGAGUGAAACCAAUGAACCUUGAGAGGUUAAACAAUUUUAAGAAAAGAAUACAACGGAGAUGAACGAGAUUACAAACACUCCGUUAGAAAAGGGGAACUAGGAACAUUAUGAGAACCUUGUGGGUUGAAAGACAUGAAACAAGGGCUUAACGAACCAAAAGAAUAUGAAACCACACCGGUAUAACGAGAUAGCCAAGGAACAAGAAUGACAUAAUUUUGACAGCACUCCGGUUGAAAAAGAGAAGGAAAACUUGAUAAGAUGACACAACGCUCCGGUUAAAUGGAUAGCAAGGAAAGAAGAUGAUCUUGACAAAACAAGAAGAUGGGUCGAAGAGAGCAAUAUCACAAUGCCUCCAGUAGAAAUGAAAGAAUGCAAUGAAAAGAACAGAGAAGAAAACAACAUGUUCUACCUUAAGUGAAUUUGAGAGAGCAUCCUUAAAAGAAGGAUAAAACGGAGUUGUUGAAAAAUCAACAAAGAAAGGAUAUGAUCUUCGUGGGCUUAUGGAGACAUCUCAAAACUUGAGGUGAAAUUCUGCCACUAACGAAAACAAUAGAUUGGAUGGAUAUGAACAAGGAGACGAGAAAUUUAUUUCACCAAGAGGAUAAAUGAAGAACUUGGGUCAUUUAUAAGCACCAUAAUUAGCAACAAACCUUCGAGAAGGCUUUAAGUGAAAUCUAUACCAAGAUAACAUCAACGAAGAAAUUGUUGGGUUGACAAGAUAUCAUGAACGAAGAAAAUAUGAUGGAUUUAAAUAUCUCAUUCUUGAUAACUUGUGAAUCAUGAAACAUGAAAAGAAAUUGUCAAGAAUGACAUAUCACCAUCUCAAAAUAAGGUAGAAAGAAUUGCACUUCGGAAUGCAAGAUGAAGAAUGCUUGAACUCCUCCAAACAAAACAUGUAUUAAGCACCCUGUUUAAUUUUGAGUAUAGCUUGGCGGGUCAUAACUUCGAGAGAAAUCUUGAAAUAAUAAUUGAAGAAUGAAAGGAAUCCUUGACGAACCACCAUGUAGAGCCUCCAUGAAGAACUCCGGUAAACAAAAGGAUGAUAGAAAGAAACAGAAGUUGACAACACAAGGUGAAGCCUUGCGAUGAUUUAGAUGGAGCUUCGCGACGAGAUAAUGCAGAAAGCUUGGAACUCCGGAAAAGAAAAAGAUGAAGCCUCUCGAACCGAGAAAUGUGACAUGAUGAACAACUCUAGAAAGAAGAAACUAGAUCACUUGGAUGAAACCAUAAUAAGAAUUACGUUAUGCAUAUCCUUCACCAAUUUAAAUUGAUGACAAGCAACGAAUUUGGCAUACUACUUAUUCUUGUAGAAAGGAUUAAGAGAGAUAUAGCGCAAACUUGGGAAGGUCUUCAUCGAACCACCGGUAGGAUUGAAACGACGAAUAAAUGUAUAUGAUAACGAAGGAAGAGAACUCUUGAACGAACCACCGUAAGAAUUGAAAAUGAACGAAGAAAAGAUAAAGAAACACCAGGAAGAAUUAGAAAAUGAAUGAAGAUACUUGAAAGAAUUUAGAUACAAGUGAAACAAAGAUAUCAUGAACUGAUUAGAGGAUAUUUGAACGAUGCACUGGAAGAAUAAGGAGAUGAACGAAGAGACAUCAAUUUAGAAUAAUUGGAGAAUGAGGCUGAAAACUUAGAACGAAGAAAUCUUCUGAAAUGAUGGCCUUUGGAUGAUCAAGAAAUGAAAACAACUCUGAAAUGCUCCGGAUGGGUAUGAGAAGAAUUCUCACAAUCGAAAACAAUUAUGAGAGGAUGGCAUAAGCUAGAACUAUGAAUCUUCAAGAGAAUGGACAAGAUUUAGGAGAAAUCCUUCUUCGGUCUUCAAAAUGUUGAGAAUGAUGAUGAGAAACACCACCAUGAAUUGUUGAGGCACUCUGGAAUGACAAUUAGAAAGAUUGAACGAACGAUGAAAAGAAUUUGAAAGAUCUUGGAGAAAGACAUUUGACUGAUGAUAAUUCAUUCUUACGUCAAACUUUGCAACGAAUUUGAGAAUAACUCCGAAAAAUUAGAAGAGUCAGGUAAGAUCCUGGAAAAAGACUUGUGGGUUAGGGCCCACUCAAAAGAAAACACCGUUGAACGAUUGCUUGAAAAGGAGAUUGCACCGGUUGAAUUAAAUGGCUUGAAUGAGAUAACAACCUCAAAAUAACAUGAACGGAUUGAGAAUGGGAACACGAAUCUUCCAAGAUAUCUUCAACACUCCGGAUAUGAACUGGGCAAGGUGAAUAAAUAAGAGAGUCUUGGAUAAGAAAUUCACAUGGGAAGAUAUGUGAAACAAAAGGAAGAGAUAUAAUCAACAUCGAAGCUUGAAAUUAAUCCACCAGAGAAAAAAAAAGAACGAAGAAUGAUGAACUUGAAGCUUCGUUAGUAUCUUCCUGAGAAUCACCGGAUAAGAACAUUGACGGAAAAGAAUGGAGAGACUUCCCAUCAAUAAAAAUGAUACUUGAUUAAGAAAUCUGAGUCCUUGAAGAAAAAGGUGGGAGGGUGGGAAAACAAAGGCAACUUGGGUCGGAUGAAACGAACAUCGUUGAGAAAAACUUAUAAUUGAUCUUCCGGAUGAGGAGAAUGAUGGGAUCAUCUCAAAGAGAAACACACCGGUUGGAAAUAGAAUUAAGAUGGCAAUCUCGAUGGUCAAGAAGGAUUAGUAUCCCCAUAGAAAUAUGAGAACACCACCUAGAAUAAGGUAGGGAAUCAACACUUGACACCGAAGCAAUUCGAAUACCACAAAUUAAAACAAAACAAAGGAUUUGGCUUGCAGAAUAAGCCGGAACAAACAUAUGAUAGAGAUUUCGUCUGAAGUUUUCGUGGUGGGGCCCACACGGGCUCGAUCGUACAACACCAUCAUGUACAAGGCAGUGCACAUGACAUACGAAGCGUCCCCGAGUCGGCAUAGCCAAGGACUCUUUAAGACACUACGAGACCACUGUAAAACCAACCGUGGAAAGGCGGACCACUAGACGUCGAACCCCAAUCUCAUAUCAUGCAUCUGUCGGAAAGAUAUCCUAGGGGCUACUUGAAUUCCCACUUAUAAACUCCCGAAACUUUCUGGUUAUGCAAUCAGGUGUUGGGGAUACAGGGGACACAAUAUAUCUCACCCAAACUAACAAUACCUAGAUCCAGUUGUAUCCAUCCUUCAACACAUAACCAAGAAACCUUCGGAAAUCAUUUACCUCAACCUUCAAAAAGCAUCCGUUAUACGAGUUAUGGCAAUACUCCUGAACUCCCGCCCCAGUACUGGGUGGCGUCGAGGUGAUCUCACCAACAACUGCAUAAAAGAGAUUUUCGAUGUCGGCGAAACUCAGGUAUUCCAGAACUGCAACGAUAAAAUUGUGACGGCAACACCUCGGAGCUCAACUCCCCGGGACACUGCCACAACCCCUAAAUGUCAGGAGGCACCAAGAACAAUGUUCUCGUCACAAAACCAUCGGAACGAUUCCAAGAUACCCGCGUGAUCCUAAAUUUUUUUUUAGUGAAAUUUGAGGAGAGAAGAGUCAAAACUUCUACGUCAGGAGGCCUCACGAGAGCGAUGAAGGGACUGAGGAGUAAAAAGAAUCCUACUCUCCGAAAUAUAUAAUCCUAAGACUCAAAACAAUUUUUUUUAGACUCAACAACGCCAGCGUUUCGAUCAAGCAGGGGGCUCCUAAGUCGGGGAUGGCUCUGAUUACCAACUUGUAACGCCCAUGAUGCGGCUAUAUCUCCCACGUGUCGAGGCACGACUUAGAGGCAUAACCUCAUUAUGGUUUUGUCGCAAGAAGGGUCAUCUUCACACAAUCCCAUGUAAUGAACAAGAAUGGGAUAAAGAGAGUUGGCUUACAAUCGCCACUUCACACAAUACAUAAAUGAAUUCAUAGAUUAUUCAGACUACACACAUAGGUCCGACUACGGAACCAAAACAAAAGAAGACAACACCAAAUGCUAGAUCCCCGAUCGUCCCAACUGGGCUCCACUACUGAUCAACAGGAAACAAAACAUGGUAACGACCAAGGUCCUCGUCGAACUCCCACUUGAGCUCGGUUGCGUCACCUGCACUGGUAUCGUCGGCACCUGCAACUGUUUUGGUAGAAUCUGUGAGUCACGAGGACUCAGCAAUCUCACACCCGCGAGAUCAAGACUAUUUAAGCUUAUGGGUAGGAGAAGGUAGUGAGGUGGAGCUGCAGCAAGCACUAAGCAUAUAUGGUGGCUAACAUACGCCAAUAAGAGCGAGAAGAGGAGCAACGGAACGGUUGUCAACUAGUAAUGAUCAAGAAGUGAUCCUGAACUCCUACUUACGUCAAACAUAACCCAAAAGCCGCGUUCUCUUCCCGGACUCCGCCGAAAAGAGACCAUCACGGCUACACACGCGGUUGAUGUAUUUUAAUUAAGUCGAGUGUCAAGUUCUCUACAACCGGAUAUUAACAAAUUCCCAUCUUCCACAUAACCGCGGGCACGGCUCUCGAAAGUUUAUACCCUGCAGGGGUGUCCCAACUUAGCCCAUUAUAAGCUCUCACGGUCAACGAAGGAUAUUCCUUCUCCCAGGAAGACCCGAUCAGUCUCGGAAUCCCGGUUUACAAGACAUUUCGACAAAGGUAAAACAAGACCAGCAAGACCACCCGCUGUGCCGACAAAUCCCGAUAGGAGCUGCACAUAUCUCGUUCUCAGGGCACACCGGAUGAGCCAGACGUCGGGUUGGCAUAGACCCUGGUUGCCCAGGGGGCGCUGGACAUUGCUCGGUUUGGACCAGCACUCGAAGGAGCACUGGCCCGGGGGGUAAAUAAAGAUGACCCUUGAGUCUGCAGAACCCAAGGGAAAAAGGCUUAGGUAGGCAAAUGGUAAAACCAAGGUUGGGCCUUGCUGGAGGAGUUUUAUUCAAAGUGAACUGUCAAGGGGGUCCCAUAAAUCACCCAACCGUGUAAGGAACGCAAAAUCAAGGAACAUAACACCGGUAUGACGGAAACUAGGGCGGCAAGAGUGGAACAAAACACCAGGCAUAAGGCCGAGCCUUCCACCCUUUACCAAGUAUAUAGAUGCAUUAAUUAAAUAAGAGAUAUUGUGAUAUCCCAACAUAAAUAUGGUCCAACAUGGAACAAACUUCAUCUUCACCUGCAACUAGCAACGCUAUAAGAGGGGCUGAGCAAAAGCGGUAACAUAGCCAAGCAACGGUUUGCUAGGACGGGUGAAAAGGUUAGAGGCUGACAUGGCAGUAUGGGAGGCAUGAUAUAGCAAGUGGUAGGUAGCGCGGCAUAGCGAUAGAGCGAACAACUAGCAAAGCAAAGAUAGAAGUGAUUUCGAGGGUAUGGUCAUCUUGCCUGAGAUCCCGCAAGGAAGAAGAACGAGUCCAUGAAGAAGACAAACGGACGAAGUCGAACAAAUCCUCACAAACGCGACGUUAUCGGAACUAACCCGAAGAAGCAACAUCGGAAAGAAGCAAACAACAUGGUAAACAACCAUCACAGAAACAUGGCAUGAUGCACAAUCAAGUAUGAUGCAUGUCCGGUUUAAAGAGGCAUGGCAUGGCAAAGUGCACAAACAAUACUACAAAUUAAGUGGAGCUCAAUAUGCAACGAGUUGCAUAUUGACGAAACACCACAUGACUCAUUUAGUUCUCUCUCGGUUAUGUACCCAACAAUAUUAAAUGUUGUUAAACAUGGCAAGAGGUGAAACAUAACAAAACUACCUAUCUAGGCAAUUUAAAUGAGGCCGGAAACAACAAAUAACAAUUCCGGAAAAUCCCCAUAAGCAUAUUUUUGAUUUGGUACUGUUCUGCCCUAAACACAAUUUUAUUGUUGUUAAACAGCAAAAUAAAGUGUACCAAGUUAUUCUAUGCAUUUUUCUACCCCAUUUACAUAUAAAGUUUAUUAAAUUCCGAGUUACGGUUAAUUAGUUAUGAAAUAAAUCAUUUUAGCAUGGCAUUUGAGCAAAAUUAAACAAACAGCAAGGUUAAACAUUUUAAACAUGGAUGAAAGUGGCAUUUUAUGAAACUAGACAAAAUUCUAAGCACUUUAUAUGUUUACAUCAUUUUAAUAUGAUGCAUGGUUCAUGAGUUAUUAAAUGCAUGACGUUGAGGGUUUUUCUACAAAACUGCCAACUCUGGAUAAUUAGCUAAAUUCGCAGACAUUGAAAAAAACAUAAGCGGGCCGAAACUGGCUGGGCCAGCGGUGUACAGGAGAGUGGCUGGAUGGGCGGCUCACCCAUGGGCUAGGCCCAGUUGAGGAAGAGGAGGCCGGGUAGGCCAGCGGUGCGGGAGGUUGGGCCAGGAGGCACGGACGAGGCCGCGUCCCACGAUGCAGAGGGGUGUGGUCAACGGAAGUGGGCGCUCGGGUCUUGGCGAUUGGCGCGGUCAACGCGGCAGCGGCGGCGCGCUCGUCCUCCUGCUCGAAGCAGAGGAUGCAGGGGGCGACGGCCGCGGCCGGACUUGGCGACGGCAGUGGACUUGGCGCGCUCUCCAGCGAGGACGGACGAAGGGCCGGAUCCAGGCGGCGAAGGAGGAACGGCUAUGGCUUCACGGCUUGGCGGCGUCCAAGCGGCGAAUAGAGGGGGCUUGAGCGAGUCGCGGAGGCCAUGGCUCGGCUGGUAAACGAGUAUACAAGAGAGAGAAGGUCAGAGGAGAAAGGGAGUCAGGGAAAAAGAAGGGAAGAAGGGGCGCGAGACGGGGACCUGCUGGUCCGGCGGCUCUGCUCGGAGAGGUGGCCGACGACGUGCUGGACGCGGGGGAGGCCGAGAACGGGCAGCGGAGCAUGCUCCCGUUCAGGUCUAGCCGGAACCGAGGCGGGGCUGGAGGCAACGACGGUGGUGGACUCGAGCUUCGGCGGUGGCGCUGGUUCACUGCGAAGAGGAGCGAGAGAGGGAUGAGAUGAGGAAGAGGCCAGAGAAGGGGAGAAACGAGAAGAAGAGGAGGACAGGGAGAAGGAGCGGGCGGCCUGGCCUGGUGGAUGCUCGUCGGCGGAGGGAGCUCCGGUGGUGCUGCGGCUUGCCGCGCGUGAAGGACGGGCGAGGACGGAGGGGAACGAGGCAGGAGCUCGAGCUCCUGGCUGACGAGGGGAGCGAGGAGGUGGCGCACGAGGUCAGGCUCCAGGCGGUGCUCGGGCGCUGCGGGAGGCGAGAAAGGGAGUGGAGCGAUGGGUUCCUGGAGCUGCUGAUGCGGCUUGGUGCGGUGGUGGAUCGGGCAGGCGUGCCGAUCGAGGAAGGUGGGUGGCGGCGCUGGGUUGGCUCGGGAAGGAAUGAGGGGAUCCCAAGGCAGGGGCGGCGGCAGAGGGAUCGGACUAAUGGGACAAGCCUCCUAAAGAUUAGGGUUCGUCUAGUUUAUAUAGUGAGUGAGUUAGGCUAGAGGCUAUCGGAUCCCUCCGAUUGAAAUCGGGUGGUUGAGAAUAAAAUGCUUAGGGGAGUCCAAUAAAGAACCAAAGAUAUUUUAGGGAUGAUCCGAAUCCAGCGGAGAUGACUGAGCGGGUCGGGUACGGGGGAGCUUUCGGACGCGCACGAGGGGUCGAUGCACUGUGCAAAGGGGGUUAGGCGAACGAGGUCAAGUGUGUGGUUGGAUUGAGAAUGGUCAAGGAAGACAAACGGUCUGACGACAUGCCACGGAGACAAGGAGAAGCGGCAACUACGAACGACUACGAGUUUUAUGAAAACAUGCGGAUGCAAUGCGGAUGAUGCGAUGAUGAAUGCAACAAACAAAUAAAUAACAGAGCUGACAAGUAAAACAUGGAACGCAUCUGGAGCGUCGGUCUUGGGGCGUCACAUAAUGACUAUAGAUGACAUGACGGUUUCUUAUAGCCAUCAGCUGGCUAUAUUAUUAACCAUUCUCUUAGAGCAUCUAUAGUUGGAGUCGGUAAAUCCGGUCCCUCAAUGUCCGUGAACACUGAUCGGGCACCCCUCUUAUCUGCCACUCUGCAUCCGCCUAUCUUAUAUCCAUACUACACAUGCAAACAUUGAUCUACCCUACGUGAUCAAACGACGGACAAAAAAAUCGGCUUCAAAGGAACACAGGAUCGGUUGUCGCCGUCGUCGGAGUCAGAGUCGGAGAGGACGAUGAGCCCCUUCAUCCGACGGACCGCCCUGUCCUGCUCCCGCUUCAACCUUGCCACCUGAGCCUUCUCCGCCGCUGCCUCCUUCGCCUCGCGCUCUGACUGCUCAAUAGCAAGUCGGAGCACCUUGGCGUUCUUCCAUCGGAGGCGGCGAGCGGCCGUCUCCGCCGUCGUGAGGGAGCGGCGGUACACCCAUGCGAGGAGACACGCGUCCUCGUCGGCGUCCGGCUUCGUCCCACGCGCCGCCGCCGCAUCCCUCUCACGUGCAUGCUGCCUCUCGCGGUGUGCGCCUCCGACUCUGGAGUGUGCAUGCGGGUCGGAGGCGCGGGUACAAGCACCUAACGUUGGCCGCAUGAAGGAGCGGGCGGCAGGGGAAGGAGACGGCGCGGGGCCGGCGCAGACUGUGUUGUCCUUGCGUCACUGCGCGCGGGCCGGGAGGGUCCAGCUCCGGCGUCCGUGUUGCUCCGGGACGGGAGCUGCGGCGACGCUCCAGAUCCGGAGCUGCCACUUGUCUCCACCUUGGACCACACCAGCGCAAUGCAGAUGGCCAUUUUCUCCUCGUAGUCGAGGUCUGAGCCGGAGUCACUGCCGGAGUUUGCUCAUCGUGGUGGAUGGGAUCGGAACCGAAGAAGGAGAGGAGUGGGCCGAGCGAGAGAGAGAGAAAUGGACAGAGUGAGCUAGGGUUUGAGCUCGCCGCCCAGAUUGUGGGUUUUGUAGGGUCCGUGGUGGGUCGUGCCCGGGCCGCCCCAUAUCCGCCAUAUUUUUGGGCUGGAUAUGAGGGGUGCCGGUCAUCCUGAGCGUUUACCCGCAGUUUGAGAGGUCCGGUUGGGUUGAUUUUUUUGACCAGUUAGUGACCGGACAGUCUGCCCAGGCGUUUGAAACUGAUAUGAGAGGCUCGGCUGUAGAUGCUCUUACAUAUUUGUUUGUCGUCGUAAGUCACCUGUGGGUACACGUUUGAUUUAUUUUCCACGGCAGUGAGAACUUAGAACUGAGGAGUGGAUGCAUGCAUGUUAGCGCCCCUGACAAUACGGGCCUACAGUUCAGCAGCAGCAGCACACGCGGUGCACGGCCCAAGCGUGCAGCGCGCCCCAACCCACACAUUGCUGGACCCGACUGGGUGAACCAGCAGCUACUUAAGCCAGCGCGGAGGAGAAAGGAACUAACCAGAGGAUCAAGGCACGGCCGCGGCUACCAACUACUCCCUCCGUUUCUAAAUAUAAGUCUUUCUAAAAAUUCCAACAAAUGACUACAUACAAAGCAAAAUAAGUGAAUCUACACUCUAAAAUAUAUCUACAUACAUCCGUAUAUUGUAAUUCAUUUGAAAUGUCUAAAAAAACUUAAAUUUAGGAACGGAGGGAGUAUUUCCCUUUCCUUUCUUCCUUCUCAAGAGCCACCUUCGAUCUGGUUGUAAUCCCUAUAAUCGCUACCGUUUGAGAAUAGAUCGAGAGAACUACUACUACUACUCUAACAAUGCAUGGAUGAAGUGUGCGACACGAGCCACAGGUAGUGAUGCCUAGACACAACUGUCUGCACUUACGUCAUCAGCGACCGCACACGAGACACUCGCCAAAAUGCGGAGCUUCGAUGCGAUUUGAGAGGGGGCUAAAUGAGUCUUAAAUAGAUUUGACGGGGCUAAUCUAGUAUAUUAUGUUAAAUUUGGCUUAAAUAGUGUUAAAUAUCAUGUGUUUAUGUAAAGAAAUAAAGUACGUUGGGAGGGGGGGCAUGGCCCCCUUUGCCCCUCAUUAAGCCCGCCACUGCACGUACAUGCACCGGGCAGCUAAAAGCUUCUAGAUUCGUUCGCGUAAGUGAUGCGCGAGCGGCGUGCGUGACAGUGGGGGUAGAUCCUUUGGACAAUAGAGUCUAGACAAGUAGCGGUGCUCGGAGUCGGAGCAAUAGUGAUGUCAAAGCAUAUCCUCACAAAAAAAAAA
rnacentral:lncRNA from 1 species